CAGCAUCCUCUGAUAGACCAUGAGCACUUUUCCUGUUGCUCCCUGGUUUGCACUAAGAUGCAAAAAUAACUUCCUUGCGCUUUCUGCCUGCCUGACUUGUGGCAGCCCAGAUUGAAUUAGGGAAUACACAA